AGAGUAACACUGUAGCCGCCACCGGCAAGGGGUGCGCGCUGGGGAGCGGACGCUGCAUCCCCUUUCUGCUGCAGGAACCUCUCAUCAGACCGCCUGAGGGAAGCGGCGCCCGGAGACCCGCCCCGGCCCGGUCCACAUUCUCCCCAGGAAGCCGGACUCUAUGGGGCGGGACCCUGGGGGAGCCUGAGCCGAGCCCGGAGCCAGCCCCGAACCCCUGAACCUCCAGCCAGGGGCGCCCCGGGAGCAGCCAGCCCGUGGGCGAGCCGCCCGCCCGCCGAGCAGCCAUGAGCGAGACGGUCAUCUGUUCCAGCCGGGCCACUGUGAUGCUUUAUGAUGAUGGCAACAAGCGAUGGCUCCCUGCUGGCACGGGUCCCCAGGCCUGGCCGCAGCUAUUGCUGGAGCCAAACUCAGGAAAGUCAGCAAG
rnacentral:lncRNA from 10 species